GACGAACGCUGGCGGCGUGCUUAACACAUGCCAGUCGAACGGAAAGGCCCUGCUUGCAGGGUACUCGAGUGGCGAACGGGUGAGUAACACGUGGGUGAUCUGCCCUGCACUUCGGGAUAAGCCUGGGAAACUGGGUCUAAUACCGGAUAGGAGCCAUUUUUAGUGUGAUGGUUGGAAAGUUUUUUCGGUGUAGGAUGAGCUCGCGGCCUAUCAGCUUGUUGGUGGGGUAAUGGCCUACCAAGGCGGCGACGGGUAGCCGGCCUGAGAGGGUGGACGGCCACAUUGGGACUGAGGGACGGCCCAGACUCCUAAGGGAGGCAGCAGUGGGGAAUAUUGCACAAGGGGCGCAAGCCUGAUGCAGCGAGGCCGCGUGGGGGAUGACGGCCUUCGGGUUGUAAACUCCUUUCGCUAGGGACGAAGCUUUUUGUGACGGUACCUAGAGAAGAAGCACCGGCUAACUACGUG
rnacentral:rRNA from 1 species